CAGUCGCCACGGGAAUACGGAGGAUCCGAGCGUUAUCCGGAAUUAUUGGGUUUAAAGGGUGCGUAGGCGGAUAGAUAAGUCAGUGGUGAAAGACGGUGGCUCAACCAUCGCAGUGCCGUUGAUACUGUUUAUCUUGAAUAUGGAUGAGGUAGGCGGAAUGUGGCAAGUAGCGGUGAAAUGCAUAGAUAUGCCACAGAACACCGAUUGCGAAGGCAGCUUACCAAGGCAAAAUUGACGCUGAGGCACGAAAGCGUGGGGAUCGAACAGGAUUAGAUACCCCCGUAGUCCCUGUCUCUUAUAC
rnacentral:rRNA from 1 species